ACCAGACUCCUACGGGAGGCAGCAGUGGGGGAUAUUGCACAAUGGGGGGAACCCUGAUGCAGCGACGCCGCGUGGGUGAAGAAGCGCCUCGGCGCGUAAAGCCCUGUCAGCAGGGAAGAAAAUGACGGUACCUGAAGAAGAAGCCCCGGCUAACUACGUGCCAGCAGCCGCGGUAAUACGUAGGGGGCAAGCGUUACCCGGAUUUACUGGGUGUAAAGGGGGCGCAGACGGCGAUGCAAGCCAGGAGUGAAAGCCCGGGGCCCAACCCCGGGACUGCUCUUGGAACUGCGUGGCUGGAGUGCAGGAGGGGCAGGCGGAAUUCCUGGUGUAGCGGUGAAAUGCGUAGAUAUCAGGAGGAACACCGGUGGCGAAGGCGGCCUGCUGGACUGCAACUGACGUUGGGGCUCGAAAGCGUGGGGAGCAAACAGGAUUAGAUACCCCUGUA
rnacentral:rRNA from 1 species